AUGAAUGCUGGCGGCGUGGAUGAGGCAUGCAAGUCGAAUGAAUUUAGAUUCAUGGCAGACGAGGUAGGAACACGUAGGUACGUACCCUAAAGUCAGGGAUAAUCCGUCGAAAGGCGGGAUAAUACUUGAUGGUCCCUUCGGGGUAAAGAUUUAUCGCUUUAGGAACGGCCUGCGGGCUAUCAGCUUGUUGGUAAGGUAACGGCUUACCAAGGCUACGACGGCUAGGGGAGGUGAGAGCCUGACCCCCACCGAUGGAACUGCGACACGGUCCAUACUCCUACGGGAGGCUGCAGUCGAGAAUCUUCCGCAAUGGACGAAAGUCUGACGGAGCGACGCCGCGUGGUGGAUGAAGCACUUUGGUGCGUAAACACCUUUUAUGAGGGAGGAAGUUUAUUGACGUUACCUCAUGAAUAAGGGGCUCCCAACUCUGU
rnacentral:rRNA from 1 species